rnacentral:lncRNA from 1 species
CCGGCUUGGCCUAGCCCACUUCCAGCCCUACUUAUAGUGACGGAGAAAACUGAUGAUAAAACUACUGUACGAACUGAUCAAACCAUGCGAAUCCCUCAUCCAGACAUCUCAUCAGAGAUAUCUCAAGUGCAUCUAUUUGAGCAGACAAUGCUUGUAGAUUGGAUGAUUGCUGAUCAAACUAUGUAGACUGGUCAGGCUAAGCAAUAAGAAUAGAUUGUGUACUUUGAUCAUGAUGCAUAGGCUAA